rnacentral:rRNA from 1 species
GUCCGCCAAACAACUACGAGUCCAACUUAAAACUUAAAAGACUUGACGGUACUUCACCACAACCUAGAGGAGCCUGUCUAAUAACCGAUAACCCACGAUUAACCCCACCCUAUCUUGCCCACAGUCUAUAUACCACCGUCAUAAGCUUACCUUAUAAAAGAAACAAAGUGAGCUAAACAGCCUAACACUAAUAUGACAGGUCGAGGUGUAACUUAUGAUAGGGGUAAGAUGGGCUACAUUCUCCCAUUAGAGAAUACGGAUCACACUGUGAACACAGUGUCUGAAGGAGGAUUUAGCAGUAAGCCGAGAAUAGAACACCUAACUGAACACAACGCAAUGAAGUGCGUACACACCGCCCGUCAUCCCUGCCUACAUCUUAAAAUAUCCAUAAACUAUAACUCUUUUUUUCCCA